AUGGCGCUCGCGCGAACCGUCCCGCUCCCGCAGCUCGCUUCGGCCUCGUCCCUCCCCCGGCACCGCCGCUGCCGCCUCCUCCUCCCCGCAAUGUCGCAGGCGCGCGGCCCCCCCGCGCGAGGGAUCGCCUGCCGCGCCGCGACGACGACGCCGGCCGCGGUGGCGGCGGUGGGCGUCGGGGAGGACCUGCCCGAGGGCUACGAGCAGAUGAUGCCGACCGUGGAGGCCUCCCAGCGGCGGCGCGCGGGGGUCCUGCUGCACCCGACGUCGCUCCGCGGCCCGCACGGCAUCGGCGACCUCGGCGACCAGGCAAUCGCGUUCCUCGACUGGCUCCACGGCGCCGGCUGCACGCUCUGGCAGGUUCUUCCACUUGUUCCCCCGGGAAGAAAAUCCGGGGAGGAUGGUUCUCCUUAUUCAGGACAGGAUGCAAACUGCGGUAAUACACUAUUGAUUUCUCUUGAAGAGCUUGUUAAAGAUGGGCUGUUGAUGGAAAACGAACUUCCUGAUCCUUUAGAUAUGGAAUAUGUUGAAUUUGACACUGUUGCUAAUCUGAAAGAACCUCUUAUUGCCAAGGCAGCAGAGAGGCUCCUACAGAGCCCUGGAGAGCUCAGAAGGCAGUAUGACGAAUUCAAGAAAAAUCCAGAUGUUUCAGGUUGGCUUGAAGAUGCUGCACUUUUCGCUGCUAUCGACAAUAGCAUCAAUGCAGUGUCCUGGUCUGAGUGGCCUGAACCGCUGAAAGAUCGCCAUCCUGGAGCCUUGAAAGAUAUAUAUGAAAACCAGAAGGACUUUAUAGAAAAUUUUAUGGCACAACAGUUCUUAUUUGAAAAGCAAUGGAAACGGGUUCGUUCACAUGCUCAGAAGCUGGGCAUCAGCAUAAUGGGUGACAUGCCUAUAUAUGUUGGCUACCACAGCGCAGAUGUUUGGGCAAACAGGAAAUCAUUUUUGCUGGACAAGAAUGGUUUCCCUACAUUUGUUAGUGGCGUUCCCCCUGAUGCAUUCAGUAAAACUGGUCAGCUAUGGAACAGCCCAUUGUAUGACUGGAAAUCUAUGGAAGCAGAUGGCUUUGCAUGGUGGGUAAAGAGGAUUAAACGUGCCCUUGAUUUGUAUGAUGAGUUCCGUAUUGACCAUUUCCGGGGGCUUGCUGGUUUUUGGGCAGUUCCUUCGGGAUCAGAAGUAGCGAUGUUUGGAAGCUGGAGGGCUGGACCAAGGAAUGCCUUUUUUGAUGCGCUGUUCAAAGCUGUUGGUAGAAUAAAUAUAAUCGCUGAAGACCUGGGGGUGAUAACCGAAGAUGUUGUUGAGUUAAGGAAGUCUAUUGGGGCUCCAGGGAUGGCAGUUCUUCAGUUCGCUUUUGGCGGUGGUCCUGGCAACCCCCACUUACCUCAUAACCAUGAAUUGAACCAAGUUGUAUACACUGGGACACAUGAUAAUGAUACAGCUGUUGGCUGGUGGCAAAGUUUACCAGAGGAAGAGAAGCAAACUGUGUUCAAGUAUCUACCGCAGGUCAGCAACUUGGAUGUCUCUUGGGCGCUAAUUGCUACUGCUCUCUCUUCCGUUGCAAGGACUUCCAUGGUAACCAUGCAGGACAUACUCAGCCUUGGCAGCUCUGCUAGGAUGAACACUCCAGCUACACAGAAAGGAAAUUGGAAAUGGAGGAUACCAAGCUGUGUCAGCUUCGACAGCCUUAGCCUCGAAGAAGCAAAGCUGAAGGAGUUGCUUACGCUGUACGGCCGGCUGUGA
rnacentral:rRNA from 1 species